CUGAAGGUCUGGCUUCAGGCAUAUGGCAUGUACCUUUUAAUUGAUGAGUGGGUUUCUUUGAUAUGUUAAUGGGCAUUAGCCUUGUUCCAGUAUCAUAUCCAAAGGAAAAAAAACAUUAAUAUUUACCUACAGAAUAAUAAUUAAGCCUCAUUUUUGUUGUAUUUCGAAUGUGACAAGAGCCCUCUUCUAAACAAGCCCAAACAUGAUUG